ensembl:lncRNA
UUUUGAAAUGGUGAGUUAGGAAAUCUUUACUAGGUCUGGGGUGGAUUUCUUAAAAGUGGUUUCCUGAUCGUGUCACGUGACUUCCUUGUGUGUUAUAUUCCUUCUUUUGUAGCAGAAAUAAACUUUUUCCAUUUCAUUUUGAGUGCAUAAUCAUUAGAUUUCGUUAAAAGACUCUACUCAAGGAUCAAAGUUCAGCCCUCAAAAGCUAAUGAUUUUUUUUCAUUUGAAAUCUUUCCAAGUCUUUGCCAUUGCACACUCUAAAAAAUGCUGGGUUGUUUCAACCCAACUUUGGGUCAAAUAUGGACUAACCCAGCAAUUUUUAACCCAAAAGUUGAGGUUUGGAACAUUGCCAGUUUACAUCGGCAUUCCCUAUAUAUUUAUUAUAUAUAUUUAUCCAUAUAUUUUACCAGAUACAGGUCAGCAUAAGUAUGGUGUUUCACAUAAAUCCGUUGCGCUGAAUGAUUAUUUCACCCAUAUUUUGACAUUUUAUUUGAAAGAUUAAAGCAGACACUUUACUUGUAUUUACUUGUAUUACUUGUAUUUCACAAUUAGUUACUGUCCUCGAGUAUCUUUUUGUAGUUUAACUGAGUAUCAAAUGUAUUAGCAAAUUUUACUCUCUACUUCACUACAUUUUUUUAAUCAAGAUAUGUACUCUUUACUCCAGUACCUUUGUAAAGAUUCAUGCAAUUACUCGUUACAUUCUGCAUGGCACCAGGCUUUUCUGCAGCAGUUUAUUUCUGCUACAAAAGACGGAAUAUUACACAGAGGAAGUCACGUGACACGAUCAGGAAACCACUUUUAAGAAAUCCACCCCAGACCUCGUAAAGAUUUCCUAACUCACCAUUUCAAAAGAUUAAAAACUGGUCAAAAGUUAGUGUUAAUCUACAGUGUUCGGCCAAAACAAUGGUUUAACCAACCAUACGUUUAUAAACACAACUCAAGCUGAAGGAAGUGAUGUAACAGAACUCUAACACACUGAAAAACACACUCUCAAUCAGCAGAAAAACAGAAAAAGUGUAUAUAUAUAUACAUAUAUAUAUAUAUAUAUAUAUAUAUAUAUAUAUAUAUAUAUAUAUAUAUAUAUAUAUAUAUAUAUAUAUAUAUAUAUAUAUAUAUCCCUCCACAUGACUGUACAAUAUGCAUGCAAAUAAACCUUGACAUACUUAUAUAUCCAACUUAAAUAUCCAUAUAAAGAUCUGGCCUAUAACUUACAUGAAUAUUAUAUUAUAACUUACAUGAAUAUUACAAUUUUAAUUACAAUAUACUGUAUGUAUGCAGACAAAAAUUGUACAAACUUAUAAAACCAAUUUUAUAUACAUCUAUACAUACUCUUAGUAUGAUAUACAGAGCUUUUCACUGAACAAAUUUUCACUGAAAGCAACAAAGAUUCAACUGAUCUGAGUGCAUUUCCAUUUAUGCUUUUAGCAGACGUGUUUACAUAGAUUUACUGUAAAUUCAAGCUAUGAAGUUUUUAUUUGAGAAUUGAACUCUUGACUAGUUUAGCUGGUAGAAACGAAUAGGUUACAAUUUACUAUCAACCAACACUACAGGACUUAUGUGUGCAAACCUUUAGACAUUUAUCAGGCCUUUCCCAGGUCUUUCCCCGAACUCGAGGAAUGAAAUUUAAGACAUUAUUAAUGCAAUAUUUAUCUGUAAACAGAAGGCUUCUGUAAACCAGGGUCAUUAAUUAACUGAUUUUGUACAUUCGUGAGGGCAGUUUUUAUCACCACCUUAAUAAUUGUAUCUGUGUUGUCUUUAAUGUCAAAUACUUGAAUUUAACCAAUUACUUCAAUUAAUCAAAAUACUUUAAACUGUUGCCAGUAACAACUGACUGUUUGAAAUCAUAUCUUAAUUAUACAUUUAAAAACAGGAGCCAAUAUGGCUGCAAUAUUAUGACAACAUUCGUUAUUGUCGAUUAUUGCCUCUUGAUAUUGUAAUAAUGAUUAUUAAUACGGAUUAAUGGAAUACAUAUAAAAAUCGCUUCAUCUGGAAAGCAUCUGCUGUGUACAAACAUCUGAUAGACAUCUUUAAGAUGUCAGUUUACAUGCAUUCUAAAUCAUAAACAUCUUAAAGACAUCUUCUAAACAUCUGUUUGACAUCUGAUAGGAAACUUCCUAUAGACGUUUUGCAGAUGAACAAACACUCUAAAAAAUACGUCUUGCAGAUGUAAAUGCAGAUGUCAAAUAGACGUCUCUGUGACGUACGUGUGCUAUCAGGGUGUGUUUUCAUGACUUUUGAACACUUGAGCACAUCGAUCACCUUCUCGAGAUUCAUGAUUAAAAGCUAACUUUCAUUUAUGCUUUUUCUUGCCAUCAUAUAGUCGCAGUUGCAAAUCAAGAAGCGCUAAAAACAGGAGUCCACAGAAGUUUGAGGGAAAAUAAUGUGUGUUUGGUUUCCUCUUUUUUUCAUUGUUUUGUUUACUCAUCUGACAGUUCAGCCCAGACAUGUACGUUAAAGCUCACGCUAUACAACCCGUUACACCACAUAUCAACAUUCAGUAUCACUUUUAGCAGACGUGUUUACAUACUUUUUUACUGUAAAUUCAAGCUGUGAAGUUUUUAUUUGAGAAUUGAACUCUUGACUAGUUUAGCUGGUAGAAACCAAUAGGUUACAAUUUACUAUCAACCAACACUACAGGACUUAUGUGUGCAAACCUUUAGACAUUAUCAGGCCUUUUUGGCCUCUCUCAGGUCUUUCCCUGUACUCGAGGAACAAAAUUUAAGACAUUAUUAAUGCAAUAUUUAUCUGUAAACAGAAGGGUUCUGUAAACCAGGGUCAUUAUUUAACUGAUUUUGUACAUUCGUGAGGGCAGUUUUUAUCACCACCUUAAUAAUUGUAUCUGUGUUGUUUUUAAUGUCAAUUACUUGAAUUUAACCAAUUACUUCAAUCAAUCAAAAUUUUGUCUCAAAAAAAGUUUGUCUCAUGGCUUCAGAGACAAACAUGUCGGUCCAUGACGUUAGACUAGACUAGCACAAGUUGAGCAAAACCUCCCAUUAUAAUAACUGAUGCUAUGAAAUUAAUCUUUUAUUUACAUCGUAUCUGCACUGUUGUUUAUGAUGUGGGUUCAGUGCGGCAAUAUAAUCAACAACAACUCCGGAGUCUUGAGCACUGACUAAUCUAAGCAGCUCUGAUUGGCCAUUGCAUUCCUAAGCUCAACGGAAACGCAUGUGAUUGCUUAUAAAGCUCAACACUGCAAAAUAAAAAAAGCAUAAAAUGCAAUCUGAUGCAGCAUGAGCAGUUCAUUUUAAUCACAACAGCUGUAGUACAUUGUUGCAUUGUGCAGGGGCAAUUUUUGCCCCUUUAUCUUGAAUUUGUGGGGCAUUUUGGUUAAUUUUGGUUGCAUUUUUGCCACAAGCCCCCAUUAACAACAUGUGACUGCUUCAACUCACUCCAGGCGGCCAAAUGCAGAAAUGCAUAACUCAGUCUAGCAAAGCUAAGAUUUUCUGUGACUUUCCGACUUUAAUUGCUUUGAAAUGUUAAUUCCAAAUCACCAAACUGCAUCACGUCUGCAAGAGGUCUGUCAAAGAUCGCUUCAUCUGGAAAGCAUCUGCUGUGUACAAACAUCUGAUAGACGUCUUUAAGAUGUCAGUUUACAUUCAUUCUAAAUCAUAAACAUCUUAAAGACAUCUUAUUAACGUCUAUUUGACAUCUGAUAGGAAACGUCCUAUAGUCGUAUUGCAGAUGAACAAACACUAAAAAAAUAUGCCUUGCAGAUGUAAUGCAGACGUCAAAUAGACGUCUCUGUAUUGUACGUGUGCUAUCAAGGUGUGUUUUCAUGACUUUUGAGCACUUGUGCACAUCAAUCACCUCCUCGAGAUUCAUGAUUAAAAGCUAACUUUCAAGGUUUUUCUUGCCAUCGUAUAGUCGCAGUUGCAAAUCGAGAAGCGCUAAAAACUGAAUUGCACAGAAGUUCAAGGGGAAAUAAUGUGCGAUUGGUUUCCUCUUUUUUCCAUUGUUUUGUUUACUCAUCUGACAGUUCAGCCCAGACAUGUACGUUAAAGCUCACGCUAUACAACCCGUAACACCACAUAUCAACACACAGUACCAUUGUUAACAUGUCAAGCUAAAUAAUUUACAAACGCAAAGAGAUAUGUGCUUUAUAUAACCUAUAAAACUCCCAAAGCCAAACAUAAGUGAAAAUAAGCAUCCGGUUUCUCAGGGAAAGUGCGAUCCUACACGAGUUUUGCUGUGAAACUAGUGUCUCUGUACCUGCGAGUAAACACACUCCUCCUGAAGCUGCUGCUGUGGAGCGUUUGAGUGGUUCGGAGUGAAUGUCACCUCGCCGUACUGAACCUCCUCCUCCUUCUUCUUCUUCUUCCUCUUUGUCUGCGUUCGGACCUCGGAGUAUUCCACAUCAGCAGCCAGGAAAGAUUCUGU